CACCAAAGCGACGAUCAGUAGCCGGCCUGAGAGGGUGACCGGCCACAUUGGGACUGAGACACGGCCCAAACUCCUACGGGAGGCAGCAGUGGGGAAUAUUGCACAAUGGGGGAAACCCUGAUGCAGCGACGCCGCGUGAAGGAAGAAGUAUUUCGGUAUGUAAAGCUCUAUCAGCAGGGAAGAAAAUGACGGUACCUGACUAAGAAGCCCCGGCUAACUAC
rnacentral:rRNA from 1 species